UAUAAAGAAGGUAGGUCCAACUAUUUCAGUGAUCACAUUUUCAGAAGGACUGUGGCUGCUGGUUGCGUCUGUGCUUGAAGUUCUGGCCAAAUCAUCAUCAUCAUCAGGAUGUCAAAAAUUAUGGUUGUCCAUCUCGGAGUGAUUGUGUUCGCUAUAUGUUUAUCGACACAGGUGGUCUCUCUGAACACCACAGCAACCACAUUGGGCAACGCGACCGGCUUAGGUUCCAGCGACAACUCCACCACCAUGGUCACGGGCACGUACAGCAGCUCGGCCAACUCCACCUCCCCUACCGGAGUGGGCAUGUCACUGCAGUCCAGCCACUUCUCCCUCCUGCUCCCCAUCGUCAUGGCGACUUGGCUCCUGCACUGCUAUUGUUGAACCCAUAACCCUUGAUCCACCCUCCUGUUACCACCUCAACCACCACCACUCCCCUCAACCGCACUGAACCAAGACCACAAUCCUAACAUCCAGCAGCCAAAAUGGACUCUACAUCACCCACACCCACUCGUUCGCCCCCACAGAAAAAAUAAAAUCCUAGUGCUGACUUUUUUCCUCCGGGGGGGGGACGUUAGUUGGAGAGGAAGCCGCCACCAUCUACCCCUUUCACCCCUCCCCCCUUUCGAAACCCCUUACGGAACAUCAACAUGGCUUCUUGCUCCAGCACCGUACUCUGCCAACCCUCAAGACCUGCGUUUCCAUAGUAACACAACCAACAUCCUGGUUAUCAGUCUGGGGUAUUCUGGGGUAUGUAGGCCUACAGGGACGUGGUUGUCAUGUCAGGUCUCUUGAAAAAAAAUUUGGACCACUUGAGUGUACAGAAGUUCUUAUUGUAGUUUUAAUUUCAGCUGGGAAAUAAUUCUAAAUUUGUUUUGUAUGUGCCCUGCCUAAAGUGAAGGUUGCACAUAGAUUAUUAUAGAGAAACUCAAGCCUCUUUUAAUGAAACUAUUUUAAAUGGUCACGAUUUGGCAUUGAGUUUUGUUAUUGGAAAUGUACCAGAAGAUGUGUUGUAUGUAGAGAUAAUAAGUUUGAUACUGGGCUUGAGUCGGUAUGCCUUGUGAUUUCUAAGAGUUUCUGGUCUUUUACAAGGAGGGUAUAACUGCAUCUCUCCCUUUUGAUGCCUGGGUUGGUCCUAACAAAAUGACUGUACUGUAACCAUGUGGGAAGGGUUGAUGUUAAAUUUAUAUUCCCCCUUAUAGUUUAUAUUUUGUAUAAAUAGCAAUGUUACAAUGUUAGUUUUUGUUAACUCUUCUGAAAUAAUGGGAAGGAAUGACAAUGUACAAUAAAUUAUACUUAAAAAAUA